UGGGGGAUUUUGGACAAUGGGGGAAACCCUGAUCCAGCCAUCCCGCGUGUGCGAUGAAGGCCUUCGGGUUGUAAAGCACUUUUGGCAGGAAAGAAACGGCAUGGGUUAAUACCCCGUGAAACUGACGGUACCUGCAGAAUAAGCACCGGCUAACUACGUGCCAGCAGCCGCGGUAAUACGUAGGGUGCAAGCGUUAAUCGGAAUUACUGGGCGUAAAGCGUGCGCAGGCGGUUCGGAAAGAAAGAUGUGAAAUCCCAGAGCUCAACUUUGGAACUGCAUUUUUAACUACCGGGCUAGAGUGUGUCAGAGGGAGGUGGAAUUCCGCGUGUAGCAGUGAAAUGCGUAGAUAUGCGGAGGAACACCGAUGGCGAAGGCAGCCUCCUGGGAUAACACUGACGCUCAUGCACGAAAGCGUGGGGAGCAAACAGG
rnacentral:rRNA from 1 species